GAUGAACGCUGGCGGCGUGCUUAACACAUGCAAGUCGAACGAUGAAGCCCAGCUUGCUGGGUGGAUUAGUGGCGAACGGGUGAGUAACACGUGAGUAACCUGCCCUUAACUCUGGGAUAAGCCUGGGAAACUGGGUCUAAUACCGGAUAGGAGCGUCCACCGCAUGGUGGGUGUUGGAAAGAUUUAUCGGUUUUGGAUGGACUCGCGGCUUAUCAGCUUGUUGGUGAGGUAAUGGCUCACCAAGGCGACGACGGGUAGCCGGCCUGAGAGGGUGACCGGCCACACUGGGACUGAGACACGGCCCAGACUCCUACGGGAGGCAGCAGUGGGGAAUAUUGCACAAUGGGCGCAAGCCUGAUGCAGCGACGCCGCGUGAGGGAUGACGGCCUUCGGGUUGUAAACCUCUUUCAGUAGGGAAGAAGCGAAAGUGACGGUACCUGGAGAAGAAGCACCGGCUAACUACGUG
rnacentral:rRNA from 1 species